GACGAACGCUGGCGGCGUGCUUAACACAUGCAAGUCGAACGGAAAGGCCCUGCUUGCAGGGUACUCGAGUGGCGAACGGGUGAGUAACACGUGGGUGAUCUGCCCUGCACUUCGGGAUAAGCCUGGGAAACUGGGUCUAAUACCGGAUAGGAGCCAUUUUUAGUGUGAUGGUUGGAAAGUUUUUUCGGUGUAGGAUGAGCUCGCGGCCUAUCAGCUUGUUGGUGGGGUAAUGGCCUACCAAGGCGGCGACGGGUAGCCGGCCUGAGAGGGUGGACGGCCACAUUGGGACUGAGAGACGGCCCAGACUCCUACGGGAGGCAGCAGUGGGGAAUAUUGCACAAUGGGCGCAAGCCUGAUGCAGCGACGCCGCGGGGGGGAGGACGGCCUUCGGGUUGUAAACUCCUUUCGCUAGGGACGAAGCUUUUUGUGACGGUACCUAGAUAAGAAGCACCGGCUAACUACGUG
rnacentral:rRNA from 1 species